UUUCCAUAUGAGAUGGGAAAGAGGAGGACGGCGAAGGAGAUCGCGUUGGAGGAGUACGGUUCAUUCCAAGCGAAGCCCGACGACGGCCACAACCUCACCGCUGAUCUGCUCAAUCAGAUAGUAGCUAUGCACGGCUUCUGCAGGAUCCAUCAGCCUAAGUUAUGUCGUUCCUUCGUUAGUCGUCACCAUGGCAGAGAUUAUGGAGGCGUUCCGAUCGAUGACACUGUCACUCUGGCGAGCCUGUUCAGCUUCCUGCUUUUAUGCCUCCAAACGGACGCCGAUCGAGAAGGGGUAAUCUUCGGUUCAACGGAGCUCGUUUCAUGGAAAAGCCUGACCACCCGGCCUCCUCUUUCUAGCAGAAAAAGUGCUUACAGUAAACACUUUUCAGGCAACGUUCGGUGUUCUUCGAGACCCUCUUCUAUGCGAGAAAUUAAGCUGUGGCUGCUCAGGUAAGUAAGUCGGCUUACAAAUUUCAGGAAUUGAAUCCAUUUACUGUACUAGAUUCAGGAACAUUAACAAGCAUAGGAACAUUGGAAAAUAUAGGCAACGCACUUAUGCUGCUAGUCUGCAACAAAAUAUCCCCUUCACCCUGCUCUAGUCUUAAAAUGGCCUGGGGAAGAGGGAGCAGCAAGUGCUCCAAGUGGUUCGUUAGAUAAUCCGCUCACCUGACUAUUCACCCAACAAGUCAUGGGCGAACAAAUGUAGGGUUGAAUCCUCGGACCAUUCCUGAGGAUGGAAGGGCGUUUUGCUCGGAGGCCGGCCGGAGGAGGGAUUCAUACUUGCGCCACCAUUUUUAGUACACACCCCAUCUAAUCCUUUCAGCUACAAGUUUCGGCAGAAAAGGACAAUUUGCAUGCAAUGGGUAAAUUUCCUCAAUUAUUUUGUUAGUAAUAAUUAAACACAAAUAAAUUGCUGCUACAGUUUAAAAAGUUAUCCCUGAAACAUAGGGAGAAAAAGAAUGGCUAACGUAAACGACAAAUCGUUAGCUAAACAAAAAUAAAUUGCUGCUGCACUUUAAAAAGUUAUCUGUAAAACGCAGGGAGAAAAAAAAUGACUAACAUAAACGACAGAUAGUCAGCCUGUUGCUGGAGGACACUGGUGGCAAGGCCGGGCCUAUAAAUGUAACUUUCUCAAUAAAUGCAAUAUUUUGAACAUAAAAAUCACACCCAUGAAGUAGACUAUUGGAAAUAAAAGUGAAAAAUGUUAUAAGGAAAGGAUGUAGACUAGCACCUGAAUGCAAUAUGUAUGUAUAUGUCCGAACUUGUUAUCAAAGAAUCAAGAGAGUCGUUUAAGGGGGGGUUGGGAGAGAGAGAGAGAGAGAGAGAGAGAGAGAUCUAGAGCGAGACCGGAGAGGAAGAAGGAAGGAGAUAGAGAAAAAUGGGGUUCAGACGCCACGCUUAGCACAGUAGGGCUAAGCAGUUCUGGCAUUCACCAGCCACAUUGGGAGAAACAGAGCUGACAGGUUGAAGAAGAACCUGCACAUAAAUGUUGUUGUCUUUGCCAAGAUGAAGGGGAAGAAUGUGAAUUCCUGAAAUAUAAUGAUCUCAAGCUUGCCAGGAACUGAACUUUCCUGUCCUUUUAUGUCUGUUACAGUCAUGACCAUAUUUGAAGCGAAACUGAUCAUAUUGUUAUGACUGUUGUCUCUUUUAGCACCACUAACAGAGGAGAUGAAAGUUCACAGACAGAUAUUAAGAAUCGUUUGUGUGGGUAGCAAUGUCUUUGUUGGCAAUUCCUUAAUCAGUAUGUAAAUACUCCAUGGAUGCAUAUCAGAAUGAAAACAAUUCUUCAAUUGUGAAGAUGGUUCAGGACGACAUUAUGUCAUGAAAGGCUUUGAUUUUAGGCCUGCUUGGCCUAUGUGGAUAUUCAAGAAAAGCUGUGGAAACUGCCAACAGAGUGCUGGCCAUGGGGUCGGUCAGCAAAUAAUAUCGAAUUCUUUGCAAUACUGAGAUCUUGGAAGCAAAAGGU